UACGUAGGGUGCGAGCGUUGUCCGGAAUUACUGGGCGUAAAGAGCUCGUAGGUGGUUUGUCGCGUUGUCCGUGAAAACUCACAACUCAAUUGUGGGCGUGCGGGCGAUACGGGCAGACUGGAGUACUGCAGGGGAGACUGGAAUUCCUGGUGUAGCGGUGGAAUGCGCAGAUAUCGGGAGGAACACCGGUGGCGAAGGCGGUUCUCUGGGCCUGACCUGACGCUGAGGAGCGAAAGCGUGGGGAGCGAACAGG
rnacentral:rRNA from 1 species